AUUGAACGCUGGCGGCAGGCUUAACACAUGCAAGUCGGACGGUAACAGGGAGGAAGCUUGCUUUCUUUGCUGACGAGUGGCGGACGGGUGAGUAAUGCUUGGGAAUCUGUUUUAUGGAGGGGGAUAACUACGGGAAACUGUAGCUAAUACCGCGUAAUAUCGAGAGAUUAAAGUGUGGGACCGUAAGGCCACAUGCCAUAGAGUGAGCCCAAGUGGGAUUAGGUAGUUGGUGGGGUAAAGGCCUACCAAGCCGUCGAUCUCUAGCUGGUCUGAGAGGAUGACCAGCCACACUGGGACUGAGACACGGCCCAGACUCCUACGGGAGGCAGCAGUGGGGAAUAUUGCACAAUGGGCGCAAGCCUGAUGCAGCCAUGCCGCGUGAAUGAAGAAGGCCUUCGGGUUGUAAAGUUCUUUCGGUGGUGAGGAAGGUUGUAAUGUUAAUAGCAUUAUAAUUUGACGUUAGCCACAGAAGAAGCACCGGCUAACUCCGUGCCAGCAGCCGCGGUAAUACGGAGGGUGCGAGCGUUAAUCGGAAUAACUGGGCGUAAAGGGCACGCAGGCGGAUACUUAAGUGAGGUGUGAAAGCCCUGGGCUUAACCUAGGAAUUGCAUUUCAUACUGGGUAUCUAGAGUAUUUUAGGGAGGGGUAGAAUUCCACGUGUAGCGGUGAAAUGCGUAGAGAUGUGGAGGAAUACCGAAGGCGAAGGCAGCCCCUUGGGGGAAUACUGACGCUCAUGUGCGAAAGCGUGGGGAGCGAACAGG
rnacentral:rRNA from 1 species